AGGCAGCAGUAGGGAAUCUUCCGCAAUGGACGAAAGUCUGACGGAGCAACGCUGCGUGAGUGAUGAAGGUCUUCGGAUCGUAAAACUCUGUUAUUAGGGAAGAACAAAUGUGUAAGUAACUAUGCACGUCUUGACGGUACCUAAUCAGAAAGCCACGGCUAACUACGUGCCAGCAGCCGCGGUAAUACAA
rnacentral:rRNA from 1 species